rnacentral:rRNA from 1 species
UAGGGAAUAUUGGACAAUGGGGGGAACCCUGAUGCAGCGACGCCGCGUGAGCGAUGAAGCCCUUCGGGGCGUAAAGCUCUUUCGACCGGAACGAUAAUGACGGUACCGGGAGAAGAAGCUGCGGCUAACUACGUGCCAGCAGCCGCGGUAAUACGUAGGCAGCAAGCGUUGUUCGGAGUUACUGGGCGUAAAGAGUGCGUAGGCGGUUUUCUAAGUUCGGUGUGAAAUCUCCCGGCUUAACUGGGAGGGUGCGCCGAAGACUGGGAAGCUGGAGUGUGGGAAAGGCAGGCGGAAUUCCUGGUGUAGCGGUGAAAUGCGUAGAUAUCAGGAGGAACACCGGCGGUGUAGACGGCUUGCUAGACCAUAACUGACGCUGAGGCACGAAAGCGUGGGUAGCAAACA